GAGGACUCGUAUGUCACCGCCCGGAGGAGCGGAGCGGAGCGAUUGGCCGGGUGAAUUAUCUGCCUUGUUGCAGUGAAUUAUUUGCGCUGUUUCCUUUCCCAGUCAACAAGUUUCUGAGCUUGACUUUGAAUUUCUUUAAGUGCCAGAGCGAGGAUACGGUGCUGGGUAAUGCAUUGCCAUGCACUAUAUUUAGAAAGCAGCUGGAAGAGAAGAUGUCCUCAGGAAUCCGGACUGUUUUGUUGUACUUGUCCCUCCCGUCCCGGCCCUGUAACGCAAACGCUCCUUCUGCAGAGGGCACACCGCAGCACGAUGAAGCCAACCCCCCCUGCAGAGGAGCAGGCCCCAAGCUGCUGGCGCCGGCCCGAGGUAAGGGACGUGAACAGAAGCUGAGGAGCUGGUGCAGGGUCCCCGCCACACCCCAAACACCCCUCUCGCCCCUUUGCUGCUCUGGGCCAUCGAGCUGCACUUUCUGGAUUCACACGGGGGGCGGGGACAUCCGGGGGCUGCGUGUGCCUGUGCCAGCCCGGCAUUCACCGUCACCGUCCCUGUUGUGACACCAGACGUGGGGGCCCCGCUCCCUGCCGGCACCGCUGAGCCCGGCAGGGCCGGCCCCGGUGACGCCGGUCCCCUCCGAGCGACGCGCCACCGCAUCUGAGCGCCAGGCAAGCGGUUUUGUCACUUGCUUUGAGACGCGUCCUGCCUGGUCUCUCUUGUUUCAUUACCCGAAAUCCCAGAGAAACCACCCGGCAGGAUCAAUCAGUCACAGGCAGCCAGACAGUUUUCUUGUACUUUAUUAAAGUGUAAUCAAACAUCGGUUAAGUGGAAAAUAAAUAUCCAGAUCUAAUAAGCUGCUCA
rnacentral:lncRNA from 1 species